rnacentral:tRNA from 2 species
UCCCGGCUAGCUCAGUCGGUAGAGCGUCAGACUCUUAUCCAGAGCCUCUGCGAUUGUCGCAGAAAUAAAUCUGAAUGUCGUGGGUUCGAGCCCCACGUUGGGAG